UACGGGGGGAGCAAGCGUUGUUCGGAUUUACUGGGCGUAAAGAGCUCGUAGGCGGCUGAUCGCGUCGGUUGUGAAAGCUCAGGGCUCAACCCUGAGACGCCAAUCGAUACGGAUCGGCUAGAGGUAGGUAGGGGAAAGUGGAAUUCCUGGUGUAGCGGUGAAAUGCGCAGAUAUCAGGAGGAACACCAAUUGCGAAGGCAGCUCGCUGGGACGUUACUGACGCUGAGACGCGAAAGCGUGGGGAGCAAACAGG
rnacentral:rRNA from 1 species